rnacentral:misc_RNA from 1 species
UCUUCAUGCUUUGAAGAAAUACACCUACGGAAAACACAUAGUGGCUCGAUUUGAACAGCUCUCCGAACAGCUGUGUAAUGAAGAUAUUGGAACCUGUGAACCCUAGAUCGUUGAACAAAGAGUUCUCUACUCGUCCGGUGGACGGUGGAAUUGUUUGCAGCAGCCGAACUGUUGAUUGUUCAGUAAGCAGUAUGCAAAGUACCAGUGGUAACUGUUAACCCUAGAGUGGUGUUGUUUUAUUUGCCGACUAUAUCCAAGAUUGUAGAUAUCUUGAAUAAUCGAAGCAUGUAUUAUGGGAGAAAAAUAUUCAGUGCGCACUAAAUUAGUAAGAUUUGCUUGCUUUGGGGGUGGCUUUCUACAAAUAUGCUCAAAAG